AACGAACGCUGGCGGCAUGCCUAACACAUGCAAGUCGAACGAGACCUUCGGGUCUAGUGGCGCACGGGUGCGUAACGCGUGGGAACCUGCCCUUAGGUUCGGAAUAACUCCCCGAAAGGGGUGCUAAUACCGGAUAAUGUCUUCGGACCAAAGAUUUAUCGCCUUUGGAUGGGCCCGCGUUGGAUUAGCUAGUUGGUAGGGUAAAAGCCUCCCAAGGCGACGAUCCAUAGCUGGUCUGAGAGGAUGAUCAGCCACACUGGGACUGAGACACGGCCCAGAAUCCUACGGGAGGGAGGAGUGGGGAAUAUUGGACAAUGGGCGAAAGCCUGAUCCAGCAAUGACGGGUGAGUGAUGAAGGCAUUAGGGUUGUAAAGCGCUUUUACCCGGGAUGAUAAUGACAGUACCGGGAGAAUAAGCUCCGGCUAACUCCGUG
rnacentral:rRNA from 1 species